AUAAAGUCAGAUUACAUAUACUAAAAUUGAAAUGAUACAGAGAAGAUUAACAUGGCCCCUGUGCAAGGAUGACAUGCAAAUUAGUGAAGUGUUCCAUAUUAUA
rnacentral:snRNA from 1 species